rfam:[Eubacterium rectale] ATCC 33656 chromosome, complete genome.
UAGCGGAGUCACUUAGAUACUGUAGAAUUAUGCUUCACACGCAAAAAUGCCCCGCCAUGGACGGCGGGGCAAGGCGUUAUGCGCCACGGAUGGCGCAUAAAAGCCGGUUUUGUCAAGCAUAGAAAACAUAAAAAGCAUAAUUCGUACAGUAUCUUAGUGAUGCAGCGU